UGGGGAAUAUUGCACAAUGGGCGCAAGCCUGAUGCAGCCAUGCCGCGUGUAUGAAGAAGGCCUUCGGGUUGUAAAGUACUUUCAGUCGGGAGGAAGGUGUCAAGGUUAAUAACCUUGGCAAUUGACGUUACCGACAGAAGAAGCACCGGCUAACUCCGUGCCAGCAGCCGCGGUAAUACGGAGGGUGCAAGCGUUAAUCGGAAUUACUGGACGUAAAGCGCACGCAGGCGGUCUGUCAAGUCGGAUGUGAAAUCCCCGGGCUUAACCUGGGAACUGCAUUCGAAACUGGCAGGCUAGAGUCUUGUAGAGGGGGGUAGAAUUCCAGGUGUAGCGGUGAAAUGCGUAGAGAUCUGGAGGAAUACCGGUGGCGAAGGCGGCCCCCUGGACGAAGACUGACGCUCAGGUGCGAAAGCGUGGGGAGCAAACAGG
rnacentral:rRNA from 1 species